CACGGUUUGUGAGUCAGACCUAUUUAUGCAAAGCAUUUUACUAAAGCAGUACUCAGUCAAAGCGUUAUCCUCGAUAUCACUUCCCCUGAAUCUCUUUUUUCUUGCUCAUAAGUAUUUCCUGCAAUGCAGACCAAUGUUGCCCAAAAAUGGGCUGGAAAAAAUUACGAGGUAAUAUAAUGUCUAAUAAAAUGACUGGUUCAGUAAAAUGGUUUAACGAAUCUAAAGGUUUUGGUUUUAUCACUCCGGCUGACGGCAGCAAAGACGUGUUUGUUCAUUUCUCUGCCAUCCAGAGCGAUAGCUUCAAGACCCUGUACGAAGGUCAGAAAGUUGAAUUCGUUAUCGGCAACGGCCCGAAAGGUCCUUCUGCUGAAAACGUUGUAGGGCUGUAAUUCCCUCGGGUAAUCAUCGCUUACGAUAGCGAGGAUGGCAUU
rnacentral:sRNA from 1 species